AGCGGCGGACGGGUGAGUAAUGCCUAGGAAUCUGCCUGGUAGUGGGGGAUAACGUUCGGAAACGGACGCUAAUACCGCAUACGUCCUACGGGAGAAAGCAGGGGACCUUCGGGCCUUGCGCUAUCAGAUGAGCCUAGGUCGGAUUAGCUAGUUGGUGGGGUAAUGGCUCACCAAGGCGACGAUCCGUAACUGGUCUGAGAGGAUGAUCAGUCACACUGGAACUGAGACACGGUCCAGACUCCUACGGGAGGCAGCAGUGGGGAAUAUUGGACAAUGGGCGAAAGCCUGAUCCAGCCAUGCCGCGUGUGUGAAGAAGGUCUUCGGAUUGUAAAGCACUUUAAGUUGGGAGGAAGGGCAGUAAAUUAAUACUUUGCUGUUUUGACGUUACCGACAGAAUAAGCACCGGCUAACUCUGUGCCAGCAGCCGCGGUAAUACAGAGGGUGCAAGCGUUAAUCGGAAUUACUGGGCGUAAAGCGCGCGUAGGUGGUUCGUUAAGUUGGAUGUGAAAUCCCCGGGCUCAACCUGGGAACUGCAUUCAAAACUGACGAGCUAGAGUAUGGUAGAGGGUGGUGGAAUUUCCUGUGUAGCGGUGAAAUGCGUAGAUAUAGGAAGGAACACCAGUGGCGAAGGCGACCACCUGGACUGAUACUGACACUGAGGUGCGAAAGCGUGAGGAGCAAACAGGAUUAGAUACCCUGGUAGUCCACGCCGUAAACGAUGUCAACUAGCCGU
rnacentral:rRNA from 1 species